rnacentral:rRNA from 1 species
UACGUAGGGGGCAAGCGUUGUCCGGAAUCAUUGGGCGUAAAGAGCGUGUAGGCGGUCCGGUAAGUCCGCUGUGAAAGUCAAGGGCUCAACCCUUGAAUGCCGGUGGAUACUGUCGGACUAGAGUCCGGAAGAGGCGAGUGGAAUUCCUGGUGUAGCGGUGAAAUGCGCAGAUAUCAGGAGGAACACCGAUGGCGAAGGCAGCUCGCUGGGACGGUACUGACGCUGAGACGCGAAAGCGUGGGGAGCAAACAGGAUUAGAAACCCCCGUAGUCC